rnacentral:lncRNA from 1 species
CCGGGCUGGACGGUUGGGAAGGAAGGUCGUGGACAACAAAGUAAUGAACAAAAAUAUGUUUCACGCAUGAGAAGCUGUCCGAGAUGGCAGUGAGGGAGAGGUCAUGGCAAACGGUGUUUAUGGCAUGGAAAAGUGAAGAUUCAAAAAAAAACCCAAGGAGAGGCCAAGAUAGUGUGGAAAAUAUCCACCCCCUCCCAGAGACAGCUCAUUAGGAAGGUUUUGGAGGGAGACUCGCAGGAGGUCAGGGGCUGCUGUGUUAUCUUUGGAGGAAAGGCCAUCCCUUCUCUUCCCCUCCGCAGACGUAUCCAGUGAGACAACUCUCUCCCCAGCAAGCUUUUCUCAGGGAGCAGGCAGUUUCUUGAAAAAAUGAACCAGAUGAGGAUCCACCCACCUCCAGAAACAAAGACUGUGGCUGUCUCCAAGAAUGAAGCACCAGUCUCUUAGUUGGUAUCCCCAGGAGACCAAGUGAGUAGGUAUUACAAAUAUAAUCAGGGAAAAGAAGCUAUUUUAAAAAAUCGGUCAUUGGGCAGGAUGUUCCAAAGGGCAGAUGAAUGUAACUUCCAAGAUGAAGUAACCGGAUGUCUGUCAACUCAGAAAACAAGGUCCAUGCAGGAGACCUCUCCAGGUACACAUAUUUCCUGCUACUGAAUGGCUUAGACUGGGAUUUGCAAGGAACUACGAAGUCCAAGACCUUUGCCUUUCUUUUAGAAGAAGGCACCAGCUGGUUCUCCAAUGUUGAAGGUCUUCUCCAGAGAUACCUUAAGGUGUGGGGAGAUUACAACUUGCUCAAGGUCUCAUAGCUAGAAGAUGUCAGAGUGAUAACUCAAACCAUGUCACAUGACUCUAAGCCCAAAGCAGCCUCUAGAAGGUUGUUUGAUCUUCUGAUGGAAGCACAAAUCACCAUUCCAACAUGAAAGAUGGAGAAACUUAAGUCUAGAGAGAUUUAAAGGACUUGUCAAAGGCAAUGAAACAAG